AAAACAAAACGAAGAAAGUCCGGUUGCUUUUUCAAAAAGGACCUUUGGGGCAACCGUGACCUGGAGGACUGAGAAUUCACCAUAGACCUGAAUCCAGUUGUUGCGGGUUUUUAAUAAAGCCUGUCCUGUUGUGUUUUGCAUAGCACCGAUUAUAAAUGAGUCCGCUGCUAAAUUUAAGAUAAAUUAAUAUUUCCUGAUGCAGGUAAGCGGCUGUGUUUUGUAUCUAUGAAACUCAACCAGCAGGGCCCAAGGAAAGAUAGGGGAGUUGUAGUCCAAAACAUCUGGAGGAUACCAGGUUGCCGCUUCUAGCCAUAAAUAAAUUUGAAUCCCUCAAAUUCCCAUGUAUUACUUAUUCAAGAGGUGAGACGCAGAGGUACUUUGCUGGUGAAGGGUGAAGAGAUUAAAAAUUAAGUUUUUAAAACUUUGUGAAUGAUAUAGUACAGUAAAGAAGUCUGUAAAUGAAGAUAUGUCUUGGAGAAAAGGGCAAAAGUAUCUGCUGGGGACAAAUGAAAGUAUUUUCUCAUUAUAACCUCUGCCCUUUUGUACAUACAUAGUGAGGUUGUUAUCAGUAUAUAAAGGCAAAAUAAAGAUGGCUACGUUGAUUCCGUGGAUACUUCUGGAAAAUGAGAGCUUUAUGCUCCUUGACAAAAUCAUCAAAGGACUCAAGCCUUUUCAGUCUGGGCCCAAGAAACAACCACCAAGCAAAUCCCAAUACUACGCAUGUUAUGGAUUCCACAUAAUAACCAUCCAGAGUAAUAGCACAAGAUCCACCUUCUUUUGAGCAAAGCUGUAAUACAGAAAAUCAGAAGAGAGGAAGGGGGGUGGGAUAGGGAACAAGUGGUAAGUAUAUCAGGCAAAUUGCUUUUGACAUUUGUAACACAUUUAAACAUUUUUCUGAAUGUGUAACUUCCAUUACUUUAAUGUGCAUCAUUUAAAAAGUACAUUAAAUAUUUAAAAAUGGA